GCCCCAUUGCCUCCUUGCUUUCUUCAAAAAUACCAAGUCAGCUCUUGCCUCAGGGUCUUUACACUUCCCUGAAACGCCACUAUCCCAGAUAUCGACAAGGCUAACACUCUCACUACUGUCAGGCCACUGCUCAGUCUUUUUACCUUCCCCAUCACUCUCUAUCUCCUUACUUUGCCUUAUUUUCCAUUUUAGAAUAUAUCCCACCUGACGUAUUAUAUUGUUAUUUAUUUGUCAUUAUUCUCUUGCUAUUAAAAUAGAUCUCCAACAGAAUGCCUAUUUUCUUCAUUACUGCAUCCCCAGGGUCUAUAAUAAUGUUCUGCUUACAACAGAUUUUCAAUCAAUGUUGCAUAAAGGGUCUUGCUUUGUUGCCCAGGCUGCUCUCAAACUCUUGGAUUCAAGAGAUCCUCUUACCUCAGCUUCCCGAGUAGCUGGGAUCACAGGAACCUGCCACCACACCCAGCCAAUGGUAACAUUUUGCAAAACUGUAGUAUAAUAUCAAGACCGGAAUAUUGACAUUGAUAUAUGUUUUAUGUUCAUUUGUGUGCAUGUGUGUGUCUGCAAAUAUGCCUUUAGAAGACACACACACACAAAGAGUCUUCAAAAAAGUUUAUGGAAAAUGUGUAUUAUGAAAAAACUAUGUAUGGAUUUCAAAUUUGUUUCAUCAAAAUAAAUUCAUAUUGUUAUAACAUGUCUGAACAGGAUCUAGUCUGAGGCACUAAGAGGGAUAAAACAUCAGUUUGUAAAGAGCCCCUUUCAGAGCAACAUGAAUUCCACUAAAAUUGAAGAAAGAACGAACGUCAAAUUUUUUGUGAAGCUUGGGUGGAAGAAUGGUAAAUUAUUCAUGCUUUACAAAAAGCUGAUAGGGACAAUACCCCAAAGAAAUCAGCAGUUUACAAAUAGAUAAAUUUUUUUUUUGAGAUAAAGUUUUGCUCUUGUUGCCCAGCCUGGAGUGCAGUGGCGUGAUCUCACCUCACUGCAACCUCUACCUCCUGGGUUCAAGCAAUUCUCCUGCCUCACCCUCCCCAGUAGCUGGGAUAACAGGCAUGAGCUACCAUGCCCAGCUAAUUUUGUGUUUUUAGUAGAGACGGGGUUUCUCCAUGUUAGUCAGACUGGUCUCAAACUCCUAACCUCAGGGGAUCUGCCUGCCUCGGCCACCCAAUGUUCUGGGAUUACAGGCGUGAGCCACCAUGCCUGGCCUGAUAACUUAUUUUAAGAAGGGUCAAGAGAAUGUAAUAGAUGAAGCCCACAGCUGCAGAUCAUCCACAUCAGUUUGCAAGAAAAAAUUAAUCUUGUUUGUGCCCUAAUGAAAGAAGACCAACAAUUAACAGCAGAAACAGUAGCCAACACUGUAGGCAUCUCAACUGGUUCCACUUACACAAUUCUAACUAAAAACUAAAGUUAAGCAAACUUUCCACUUGAUGGGUGCCAAAACUGCUGCACCCAAAUCAGCUGCAGACAAGAGGUGUUUUCAGUGGAAAUUUUGAAGUGAGAUCAUGAUCCUGAAGCAUUUCUUCAAAGAAUUGUAACAGGAGAUGAAACAUGGCUUUACCAGUACAAUCCUGAAGACAAAGCACAAUCAAAACAAUAGCUACCAAGAAAUAGAAGUGGGCCAGUCAAACCAAAAGCAGACUGGUCAGGAGUAGAGGUCAUGGCAACAGUUUUUUGGGGAUGCUCAAGGCAUUUUGCUCGAGGGCUAAAGAAUGAUGACAUGUGCUUAUUAGGAGAGUGUUUUGAGAAAGUUAGCUGAAGCUUCAGCAGAAAAACAUCCGUGAAAGUCUCACCAAAG
rnacentral:lncRNA from 1 species